GUUCUUGUAGUUGAACACAGCGGUAGUUUUUCGGACUAUAGGUCUAGGUUAAAAUCCUAGCAGGAACU
rnacentral:tRNA from 1 species